GCCGUGGUGGUGCAGUGGUCAGCACACCCGACCUGGUAUCCUAAGUUCCUACGCUCGCGCAUACCUAAGUUCCUAAGUCUCUCUCUCUCGAGGGUCGGGAGGUCGCAGGUUCGAAUCCUGCUCACGGUG
rnacentral:tRNA from 1 species